CAUAUCAAUAAGCGGAGGAAAAGAAACCAACAGGGAUUGCCUCAGUAACGGCGAGUGAAGCGGCAAAAGCUCAAAUUUGAAAUCCCCCGGGAAUUGUAAUUUGAAGAGAUUUGGGUCCGGCCGGCAGGGGUUAAGUCCACUGGAAAGUGGCGCCACAGAGGGUGACAGCCCCGUGAACCCCUUUAACGCCCUCAUCCCAGAUCUCCAAGAGUCGAGUUGUUUGGGAAUGCAGCUCUAAGUGGGUGGUAAAUUCCAUCUAAAGCUAAAUACCGGCGAGAGACCGAUAGCGAACAAGUACAGUGAUGGAAAGAUGAAAAGCACUUUGAAAAGAGAGUGAAAAAGUACGUGAAAUUGUUGAAAGGGAAGGGCUUGCAAGCAGACACUUAACUGGGCCAGCAUCGGGGCGGCGGGAAACAAAACCACCGGGGAAUGUACCUUUCGAGGAUUAUAACCCCGG
rnacentral:rRNA from 1 species